UCCCUGGUGGUCCAUUGGUUAAGACACCCUGCUUCCAAUGCAGGGGGCAAGGGUUCGAUCCUUGGUCAGGGAA
rnacentral:tRNA from 1 species